rnacentral:rRNA from 1 species
GAUGAACGCUGGCGGCGUGCCUAAUACAUGCAAGUCGAGCGAACAGACGAGGAGCUUGCUCCUCUGACGUUAGCGGCGGACGGGUGAGUAACACGUGGAUAACCUACCUAUAAGACUGGGAUAACUUCGGGAAACCGGAGCUAAUACCGGAUAAUAUAUUGAACCGCAUGGUUCAAUAGUGAAAGACGGUUUUGCUGUCACUUAUAGAUGGAUCCGCGCCGCAUUAGCUAGUUGGUAAGGUAACGGCUUACCAAGGCAACGAUGCGUAGCCGACCUGAGAGGGUGAUCGGCCGCACUGGAACUGAGACACGGUCCAGACUCCUACGGGAGGCAGCAGUAGGGAAUCUUCCGCAAUGGGCGAAAGCCUGACGGAGCAACGCCGCGUGAGUGAUGAAGGUCUUCGGAUCGUAAAACGCUGUUAUUAGGGAAGAACAAAUGUGUAAGUAACUAUGCACGUCUUGACGGUACCUAAUCAGAAAGCCACGGCUAACUACGU